rnacentral:rRNA from 1 species
UGGGGAAUUUUGGACAAUGGGCGAAAGCCUGAUCCAGCAAUGCCGCGUGUGUGAAGAAGGCCUUCGGGUUGUAAAGCACUUUUGUCCGGAAAGAAAUCCUUGGCUCUAAUACAGUCGGGGGAUGACGGUACCGGAAGAAUAAGCACCGGCUAACUACGUGCCAGCAGCCGCGGUAAUACGUAGGGUGCAAGCGUUAAUCGGAAUUACUGGGCGUAAAGCGUGCGCAGGCGGUUUGCUAAGACCGAUGUGAAAUCCCCGGGCUCAACCUGGGAACUGCAUUGGUGACUGGCAGGCUAGAGUAUGGCAGAGGGGGGUAGAAUUCCACGUGUAGCAGUGAAAUGCGUAGAGAUGUGGAGGAAUACCGAUGGCGAAGGCAGCCCCCUGGGCAAUACUGACGCUCAUGCACGAAAGCGUGGGGAGCAAACAGGAUUAGAUACCCUGGUAGUCCACGCCCUAAACGAUGUCAACUAGUUGUUGGGGAUUCAUUUCCUUAGUAACGUAGCUAACGCGUGAAGUUGACCGCCUGGGGAGUACGGUCGCAAGAUUAAAACUCAAAGGAAUUGACGGGGUCAUA